rnacentral:rRNA from 1 species
GAGUUUGAUCGUGGCUCAGGAUGAACGCUGGCGGCGUGCCUAAUACAUGCAAGUCGAGCGAACGGACGAGAAGCUUGCUUCUCUGAUGUUAGCGGCGGACGGGUGAGUAACACGUGGAUAACCUACCUAUAAGACUGGGAUAACUUCGGGAAACCGGAGCUAAUACCGGAUAAUAUUUUGAACCGCAUGGUUCAAAAGUGAAAGACGGUCUUGCUGUCACUUAUAGAUGGAUCCGCGCUGCAUUAGCUAGUUGGUAAGGUAACGGCUUACCAAGGCAACGAUGCAUAGCCGACCUGAGAGGGUGAUCGGCCACACUGGAACUGAGGCACGGUCCAGACUCCUACGGGAGGCAGCAGUAGGGAAUCUUCCGCAAUGGGCGAAAAGCCUGACGGAGCAACGCCGCGUGAGUGAUGAAGGUCUUCGGAUCGUAAAACUCUGUUAUUAGGGAAGAACAUAUGUGUAAGUAACUGUGCACAUCUUGACGGUACCUAAUCAGAAAGCCACGGCUAACUACGUCG